CCGCCACGCGCUUGUUAGUCUGCACGCCUUUCGGAGAACAAACUCAUUCGGCGCUGGGACGCCGAUGAGAGAGGAGGGUCUACUCUUUCACUGUUGACCUGUUAGACACCCACAGUUUUAAGUCACUCGAUCGUUGGUGGCUGUGCCUUCGGCUGCUUGGGCUCUGAUGUCUGGAAUUCCUCUACAAUCUCCUUUAAGAUACUUUUAAAACCUGACAGUGUCUCACGAUGUCAACUUUGUUUGAUAAUAUUCUUCUGAAGCGUCUUUGAAUAUUUACUGCGAAUUGAUAUAAGGUCUACAAGACUUAGACCUAAAUGAUCUCAAGAGAAAUGAUAUAUUUAAUUGGUAUGUUUGGAGGAAGUGGUAAGACGUUGAUCAACUAUUUUAUAUACGGGAAGAUAUACCACUGUACACUUAGUGAAAUAUCUACAUAGCUAUCUUCCCCUUCCAUUCAGAAUGUUUACUUGCAGAUUCUUCAGUGCCUUUGUCCUAUCAAGAAGCAGGAAUGUUAAAAAUGACUCAGUAAAAUAGUGAUUAUAGAAGGUGGUAAUAUGAGAGAAAACAGUGCUAAAGGACAACAAGUCAAAUAUCAUUCGAAAGAAAAUCUAGGUUAUUGUCAGACUGGAAUUCUUGAUCCAACCUGAUUCAGAUUUGGAAUUGCAGCAACUCAAUAUGCAUAAAUAGAGCUGUAAUGUUUUUAAUGACCUUGUUAUCUUUGUUUACUUUCUUUUUUCUGCUUUUGCGGUUUGUAUAGAAUAAAUAUGUAAGACCAGUCUCCAUUAGAUGCACAAGAUGGAUAUUAAUUAAGAUGCUACUUUCCAUCAAAAUAUUUUUUACUUACAAACAUAUCACAGAAACUCAUCUUUUGAAACUGUAACCCUCUCCUGAUUUGAGCUGUUGAAAGAUUGAGUAAAUGAUCAAUGCUUUCACUUGCCACUUUCAUUUUCCACUUUCCUAUUGAUGCAAAUGGGAAAAGGCUUCUGUUGUAGUUUAAUUCAGCAGCAGUGUGGUGAACCUUAAACAUAAUUAUUAUUGAUCACACUUGAGAGUUAUUGACUUUUUUUUAAUCAAAAGAUAAUUGAUUGUUUCUUUGCUUGGGGAGGGCGAAGCAAGGUGAUGACAUGCACAAAUUAUUUCGUUUUUGAAUUCACCAUGAAUCCGUUGUGCUCUUGCAAGCAUUUUCUUAAAGGUUUCUCUCUCAAACACGUUGCCUUCCUGAGAAGGUGGAAGUAGUGAUGAUUAAUGAAUUCAAAGGAAACUGGAUGAGCAGUUAACAAAAAUAAACUUGCAAUGGGAAUAGAGCAGAAAAAUGGCAGUGUUGCUGUGCAGAGCAUGGGCAUUGACUUGAAAAACUGAAUGACCUCCUUCCGUGUUGCACUGACUUUGUGGCUCUAUAGUAUCUAGCUGGGAACGGUACUUUCAAACGCUGAGAUAAAUUGAUACUGUUUAAAAAAAUCUAAUAUUGUACUUUUCAUGUAGCAGUACUCUGCAGUAUAAUGGAACAAUAAUUCUUCCAUUUUGAAGUUUUCAGGUUGUGAAAUGGGAACGCUUUAUUGACAAAUGUCACCCGUAAAGGUGUAUUUGGUAUGUCUGUACCUGUAAUCUGAAAUAUAUAUGUGGAAAAUUAAAGAAGUGCCCAGAGAUGAA